rfam:Oryza glaberrima chromosome 7 Oglab07_0045_6, whole genome shotgun sequence.
AAAGACCGAAUUUUUCGGUUUUCGUGUCCAACGUUUGACCGUCCGUUUUGUAUGAAACUUUUUUAUGAUUAGCAUUUUUAUUAUUAUUAGAUGAUAAAACAUGAAUAAUACUUUAUGCAUGACUUAUCUUUUUAAUUUUUUCAUAAAUUUUUCAAAUAAGACGAACGGUUAAACGUUAGACACGGAAACCCAGGAAUUGAGUUUUU